UUUAAUACCUAUCUUUGUAAGCACAUUUAUAAACUUUUGACAUGAGAUUUGUAAGUUCCUAACCAGCAUUAAUAUUAUAUUAAGAAAUUUGUAAUAAAAGUGUCUAACAUUUCUUUUCAUAAAAUAUAUAACAGUUUAGAAAAAUAGUGUAUUUUAAGGCAUAUGUGGAGCAAACUGACAUAUUCUUUCAUCUACAAAAGUUGCAAGAAGUUCAUGAGAAACAAAAAGAUUGAGUUGUCAGUAUUCAUAGUGCUUCUCCCUGUUCAUUUAUUACUUUGUGCACCAGCAUAUUCUGGUAAAUGCUUAAUAACUGGUUCUCCCAAAAGAAAUGCCCCAAGUGUGGAAUCUAUUAACUUCUUUAGUGCAAAUACCCCCAUAAUGGUCAAUUCCAGGGCCGCGUAACACUGAGUAGCAGAGGCAUGCACUAAUCAGAUCUCAUUAGGUCCUAAGGACUGACUGGAGCAUUUGCUGCCUGUAAACAGGAGACAAAGGAUUGUUAGGGGCAUCAUAACUGUUUGAGAGUGUUGACAUCUUACAAAGAUGAGGGGAAAGUCAGAGGUUGGGGCUGGUGAGGCUUCUCAGUGAUUUUUCAUGGAGAUUUUGCUGGUUUCUGAGUGAUGAUGUGGGCUUUAAAAAUAUAUGGACCAUUUGAUUUUCAGAUACCUAGGCAAUCAAGGUGACAUUUGUGUUAUCCUGCUUUUAGUGUGUCAGGUAGGAAAAAAAUUGUCAGUUGGGAAAUAAUGCUGUUUUUUAUUCCUUAGCAUUUAGAGUUUAAAUAUAAUGACUUUAGUAAUAAUCCCACUAAUAACUAUAUGUGUCUUGGUAAGAUAUCCUAUUUUUUCCACAGUAUUGACCAUUUAAUCAUUGAAGGUGUUAUGUGAAGAGAAUAUGAUGACUCUGAGAAUGUUGCUGGUACUGAAGUUUUGAUGGGAUCCAAAGAGUGUUAACAGUUCCCUAAUGAUGAAAGUGGACCAAGGUUAUUUGUUGGUAUCUUGAUAGAACAGACUGUGUCCUUAAAUGUAUUUAUCACAUGGAUCUACUUAGGUUCCAGUCAAGACAUCACUGUGUACAUACAUGUUUAUUAAUGGAGCUUUCCAGGUAUCCAGGCAAGUGAUAAGGAAGGAUAGAUAACACCCUUGACUAACACUGAGAAACCAUGAAAUUAGAACUGUGACACUGGAACUUGUGUUCUCAAGUCUUUUGCUCUCCCAUCAAGCUCUUUCCAAGUGCAUGGAGAUGAGCUGCUGUUACAUUUCUCAUUAAAGAUGUUGUUUCCAGACAUCAAGGUAUAGACAUGCAAUAAGAUGUGCACCAAACACUGGGAUUUUUAGAUUUCUGUCAAGACCUUAUAGUAACCCUUUCAACUGUUGGUCAGCACACCAUGUAGAUACGGUGGUAAGUCUCAUGAUGACCAACAGUGGCAGUUUGUUGUAUCCAUGGCCAUGAUGAUCAAGAGGGAUAUUGUAGCCAGCCAAGAGAAAAUGGUGUGAAGAACAACAUCUCUGACCUUGAAGUUCUAAAGAUCUAAGUACUUCAGUUGGUUUCCCUGAUGAUGGAGGUGACCAAAAUUUUAAAGUUGUCCUUUUUUUCUCCCCUCAGGUGAAAGAUGAUGCGUCCUAAACACACAUCUCAAAGUGUUGUCUAAGAUUCCAACAGUUAUUAAAUUAUAGUGAUUGAACUUAAGAAUGGUAAUUUAUGAAAUGUUAUGACUAACCUGGUAAGUAAGAAAUUGUCCCUACCAAGAUGCCAACAAAUAACCUUCAGAUUUCUUGGUAAAGUGGAUGGGAUAUCUAACACAAUGUUACCCUGGCUUUUUGGCAGGUAUUCCAUUAAGUUUUAUCCUAGUGUACAGGUUUGUUGACUUUAAAUCAUUAGAGGCAUUUCUUAUUUUUUGGUAUUUAUAUCAUGAAUGAUGCUUUUGAACUCCUGUGGUAACCUCUGCUUAGAACACAGUUCAAAAUAUGAUUUGUCAGUAAUGCUUUUUGUAAAUAUGAGAUUGUACUAUGGACUUAUUUAGAGAUUGUGAUAGGUUAUUGUAUAGGGAUGCAGGUCAUUGACCAUAUUUCCUAUCCCCUAGUAUUGACCAUGGGAAUUUUGCUAGUGUUUCUUCCAAACAAGAUGGUAUUUCUUAGUAGGCUUUUACCUCAGUGUUCAGCUUUAGCCAUGUAAUUGUGAUAAGAAUAUGAUUUGUCAUGUUGAAAGCCAUGACCAAGGGAAUGUGUCAAUGUCUUCCUUGAAUGACAUAGGUUCCAAAAUCAUUUUUCAUGAUUUGAUUUUCAAGUUCCUCUGAAGACACUGUGGUUAUCCUACCCAUGGGAGUGAGUCAAGUCCAUAGAGGGUUAUGAGGUAAGUGCUGAGGUACCCUAAACCAGGUCUUCAUCUAUAGAGGAAAGGGAUGAGGGUGUCCUGACUAUUACUAGAUUUAGUGGUCACUGCUCCUAUAAGAAAUAAUUUUGUCCUUCACAGUUCUAGUAAAUAUGAGUUUAUCCUUUAUAUGCCAUAGGGAAAAUUGGUGUUUUAGCAAGGACUGCUGAGGGAGUGAUUAUGAACUGGUUAAUUGAAAUCAUUGUGGAACUCUAUGACUGCGGUAAGCAUAGGUUAAUUUCCAGGGUGUGGAGAUGACAAAAUAUGGGCUCUCUGACAAUACUGUUUUUGUUUGGCGAAUCCAAGUAUCCUGAGGAGUUCGGCCGUCCUUUAGCAAUGGGCAUUAAAAAGGGAGUGGGCUCAUGUUCUGACACAGCACCUUCUAUGCCAAACUGGCUUUGUAUGUUUUUCAGAUGCCCUUCAAGAGAACACAGUGAUCCAGAAAAGAUGGUUGUUGCAGUCACCCUAGUAACAAGGUAAAUGAUAAAAUGGUCAUAGUCCAGUGAAGGCUGUUUGAUCUUCUAUAAUCCUGGCAAGUUCCUAACUAGGUGCUCAGAUGUUAAGGUCUUGGCUAGUGUAUUGGUCUGGGAUGAUAGUCACUCACUAGUGACAUCUCAUUUUCAGCAAUUCAUUUUAUGACUGUGUUAGGUUUUAUUAUAUUCCCCCACUUCUGGUGAUACAUGUUUUCAAAACAUAUUAUCACCUUAAUAUUACAAGGAUACAUCAAAUGUCAUUGCAUCUUUUCUGGAAUGUAAUAGAUGUAAUAUGCUUGUAUUGCUACUGGUGGAGAAGAGAUUCAUGUAAUUUUCACUGAGUCCAUCUCUGAAAUAUUGUCCUUGGAAGGUUUGCAUGUAUCACUGAAGACAGACAACACUCUCUUACAAGGCUUUAUCCAUGGAAGCCUCCAAGUAUCUAGAUAACAUAAGUGGAUGCUGAAACGAUGAAGUGACAUAGGGGAUUUGGAGUUGUAUAAGUGCAAAUGAGACAUAUACCAAAUCAGAAGUCUAUGACAAGAGUCCAUAGAUGGGUGAAUACAUCACAGCAAGCAAAAUAAGUUUGUAAAGUAGAACACUACUGAUCCCUCUAUAAGUGCUAAUGUGGGCAUUCACCACAUCACAGGAAAUCAGAUCUUCAUAUACAGGGAUGAGUGAUGAGGAUGUCCUUGACACUUGUUACUGAGGUUUUGUUACAAGUACUAAUGGAUGAAAUGAGAGACAUGAUGAAAAUAUCUAGUGAAUGCAAUACUGCAUUUUGUAUGAGACAGAAAUGAAUAUUGAACCUGUACAAUUUCAGGGAUCCAUCGCAUCAUGGUUGGAUGUAGACAUGGUGGUGUUACAACACAACAGUAAACAUUGAAAAAUUUACAGAUGGCUCUAUUACACAUUUGGACAUGCCAGAGAAUACAAUUUACAUAGAAUUAAGGACUCUAUUAACACAUAGCUGAAGGAUGCCUUUCUGUUUCUGGGUGAGGGGCAGAAAGAGUCAGUGACAUGGAAGAGCAAGAUGAGAGCUAAAUGACAGUUUUCUGUAGGUGCUUUCAAGUUAAUGGAAGUGAUCACUUGAAUGAGUGUGUUGAAAAAACCUUGAACAAACCAAGGAAAAACAAAAGUAUAAAUUACAGCCCAUUGGCACCCAUCCAAUCUUCAAUAUCCAGGUGGCUAGCAUAAGGGUAAUAGCCCAAUGAGAUGUUGUCAUGUACUGGAUUCUUAUGCUGGGAAGGUCACUGUGACUGUCGAGUUCUGAGCUGACCCCACAUUCACACAUCAGAGACCUUAUUUUCAGAUGUGAUUUUCAUUGUUGAUAGUGAAACUCUGAGGUAGUCUCCUUUAUUUGGCAAGUGUGAGGUUAAGGGCCUCAUUCCUAUCAGGGUGUAGAAUCAGGUGCUACUGAAUCCAGGCCGAAAGUGUGCCUUUAAACUGGCCAUUGUAAAGGGGAACAAAAGAGGGAGGGGAGGGGGAGAGGAAAGAAGAAAGAAAGAAAAGAAAAUAGAAGAAAAAAUGGAAACAAAGCUUUUGUAAAUAAAGGAGAAGGAGAGAGGUAGAGGGAGGGGAGGAGAAUGGGAAAAAAAGAAGAAGAAAGAUACAUCAUGAACAGGUACAAAUUCCCUGUGAUGAAUGCUAUCGUUAUGUUUACCUGAAAUGUACUAAUAAAGUUUUUGCUUCAAAAAAAAAGAACAACAACAACAACAACAACAAACUAG
ensembl:lncRNA